UUGUAGGCCUGGGAGGCAAAAUUGCCCCCCCCCCACCUGCCCCAAUAGAAAAACCGCUGCCCUGAGAUGAGCGGUCUCAUGCCAGUUUUGUAGAAAAGGAAAGCCUGGCUCACAGGGAGCAUUCUAAUUUUCAAAGGUUGCUAGUUCUCGAGUAGCAGCAUAGAAGACAGAACUCAGGCCACCUGGUCUCCCAGGCAACAGGGCACUCAAAACAUCACUACCAUUUUGGCAGGUUGGGGUCAUGGAUGUGUCUGGAGGAAUGGGCCGUGCUUUUCAACACCCCCAGCACCCCCUCGCCUUGUUACAGAGCCUUCAGACUCCCAGACUCUGCUGACUCAUUGUGCCUUCUUAAGAAAUGCCAGUAGGAGUUCCCAUUAUGGCUCAGCGGAAACAAACCUGACUAGUGUCCAUGAGGAUGCAGGUUUGAUCCCUUGGCCUCGCUCAGUGGGUAAAGGAUCCAGCAUUGCCGUGAGCUGUGGUGGAGGUUGCAGACGUGGUUCAGAUCUGGCAUUGCUGUGGCUGUGGUGUAGGCCAGCAGCUGCAACUCCGAUUUGAUCCCUAGCCUGGGGCUUCUGUAUAUUGUAGGUGCAGCCCUAAAAAAGGAAAAGAAAAGAAAUGCCAAUAGACUGGACACACUGAGGCUCUGUCACACCGACCAUGCGUUGUGCACUGGACGUCCCCGGAAGGGGAAACGGAUCUGCUGUUUCUGAACUCCCGGUGGCACCCCUUCCCUGUGAUUCUUUUUGAGCCUUUUUUAUGUAGAGACUUCCGAUCGUCGGUCCCUCUGUAGACCCAGUAGACGAAGGCUGAGCACGUGCAGCCUGUCAAUGCCCACUCUUCAGAGGCCAUGCUUGCCCCUCCUGGGCACUGCCUCCAGGAGCAAUUGCCCAAUUGAAUGCCAUUUGUAGACUCUGCCUCCCAGGGUGCAGGAGGGCCCCUGGGCAGGGAAGCAGUCCAAGCCUCGAUCAAUCCCUUCUUUUAUUCAGGGCAAAGUUACAAAUGGGCCGGAGUCAUUGGAAAGAUUUUCCACCUCACUGUGCAGAGAAGCCCUUAUGAAAGAUGUAUUGAUGAAUCCCCUUGUACCAGAAUGUUACUGGCCUCAGAAAGGCAGGAAAUAAGUAUCUGCUGGCUCUCAUUCUGCCACAGAAACUCUCUUUCAGGUCAGAUUUCCUCUGUGCCCAAGCACAUUUGAUUUAAGUCAUUUCGCUGCAAAAUAUAAAUAAAAUGGAGUUGACUGCUGUAAUGAAAAAGAGAAACACCCUGGUGAUAUAGUUUUGACUUCCAGAAAAUAGGAUGUUGAAACUACAGGCUCAUAGAAUGAAAGGAUUCCCAGGCUCCAGGCACUUAUUGCUUGUGCCACAGAGCAACCACCUGAACGUGGACCGCCAAGGAGACCAGACCCUCAGGUUCAAGACUCAGUUCUGGCUCACGUCAGCAGGGUGGCCUGGAGCCAGUCACUUUGUCUGGGCCUGAGACUCUUCCCUAGAAUGAGGAGGCCAGAAGUACCUUUGGCUUCAUGAAUGUAAGGACUUGAAUGAAUGUGAUUCAGGUCUUGGGGAACUCACUUAUCAAACAGAUACAUUUUACGGCUUGGGUACUCAUGUUCCCUCCUCACAAGGCAUCCUUGUGUUGGUCAGUGGGUUUGGAGAUGGAGCUAUAGGCUACAUGUUUGUACCCACCCCUGCAGGUCCAUACGUUGAAGCCCUAACCCCCAGGGGGAUGGAAUUGGGAGGUGGGGAUUCAGGAAGGUAAGGAUGGUUCACUGAGGCCAUGAGGGUGGAACCCCCCUAAUGGGAUUAGUGCCCAUGCGUGUAAAGGAAAAGAUGCCAGGAGUUCUCCCUGUGGCUCAGUGGGUUAGGGAGCCAACCGCAGCAGCUCAGGUCACUGCAGAGGCACGGCAUGGCACAGUGGGUUAAAGGAUCCAGCAUUGCUGCAGCUGCAGCACAGGUUGCAGCUGCAGCUCAGAUUCAGUCCCUGGCCCUCGGACUUUCGUAUGCCGUUGGCGUUGGAAAAAGUAAAGAUACUAGAGGUCCCUCUUCACUCUGUGAGGAUGCAGUGAGAAGGUACCCGGCUGUGAGCCAGGAAGAGAGCCCUCACCAGCACCUGGCCCUGCCAGCACCCUGAUCUCAGACUCACCCGCUCCCAGAACAGUGGGAGAUGAAUAUCUGUUGUUUAAGACACCCGGUCUGUGGUAUUUUGUUAUAGCAGCACAAAGGAGCUAGUGGAUACCUUCAAGUUGGGAGCUUUCAAAGAUGUACACAAAAAAGAUGUUUAAAAAAUCCUUUUCACGGGAGUUCCUGUUGUGGCUCAGCGGAAACGAACCCGACUAGUAUCCAUGAGGACGCAGGUUCCAUCCCUGGCCUCGCCUAGUGGGUGAAGGAUCCGGUGUUGCUGGGAGCUGUGGUGUAGGUCACAUACACAGCUCAGAUCCCGCGUUGCUGUGGCUGUGGUGUAGGCCGGCAGCUACAGCUCCAAUUCGACCCCUAGCCUGGGAACUUCCGGAUGCCGGGGGUGUGGCCC
rnacentral:lncRNA from 1 species